GAAAAGGUGCCGGCGGCCGCGGCUGCGUCUUGGCGUGGGGGGGGAGCGCAGCUUGUCUGCGUGGGAAAAGGGAUAACGUGGGUUAACGAGUCGUUUUAGCUGGGUACGUAUGGUAAGGUGUGAGCUGAUUCUGUGCACUGAGACCUUCAGAGCAGCUCGGAUUUUGGAGCUUGAUGAUCCCUGAGGUCCCUUCUGUGAUUCUGAGGCGGUUCCUCUUGCUGUGUAGAUGGUGAGCGAGGCACUCCAGGAAGGCUCUGACCUGUGCCGUAGGAGCAGCCGAGAGCCAGAAAACCCCGCCUGAGACCAGGGACCUCUUUUCCUUCCGAGCCGAGAAGGGACCAGCACUUGUGAACUGCUGCACUGUCCUGAGCCCUGCAGCACUUUGCAGUUGCACAAUUGCAUACAGGUCUGUCUCCUGAGUUCUACCAAACACAUUUUGGUAUGCUGAACAUUCAAGCCAUCAAGUUCAACAUGAGAUCCUCUCUAAAGUAACUAAGAAAAAAUGAAGUGUAAUAGACAGUCGUAAUGCAAAGUGAUACAUAACCAUAACUUUUUAUCUUGUCGGUGACUUUUGGGUAUCAUUUAUUGACGUGAGUUUCAAAUUCUCAAGGUUAGGCUUUAAACCAAAAAGCCAUGAGCUAGCUAGACAGAGUUAAAGCAGUAACUGGAUUCCUGGUACGAGUUCAGUUUUUGACCUUUCUUUAAGAGAAAGCAAUAAACAUUUAAUGCUUACACGUUUCCUGUUUCACAUCAACCUCGUGUGAGUUUGCUGAUAAGAUGUAAUGGGUGAUCUUUUAACUUACUGCUUAUGUAACAGUGCCUGAGAUUAAAGGGUCGAUGUGAAGUAGAAGACAAGACAUUCCACAACUAAUUUUCUACCGACUUUUAGUACUGAAGGUCAACAAAUCCAGCAGCAAACAAAAACCUUUCAAAGAUCAGUGCAAUAGUUAUCCCACCUGUGCAUCAAAUCAAUACAUUUGGAUUAACAGAAGAUACCUUUAGACAAAGAAUAGGCGAUCAAAUAUUCAAAGCACUGUUCUUCUUUAAGUAAGAAUCGAGGACACAUACAUCAAUUAUCAAGAAAAUGAGCUUGGUUAUGUGGCUAGACGGGGAGAGAAUCAGACAGAUGCCAAGUUGCUUUGUGUCACUUCAGCAAAUUUUCAAAUUUGUUUAGGAGCUGGUAUUAAAUAGAGCAAAACAUGUGACAGAAGGGGUCAGGAAGCCACUCACACUCUGAAUGUGAACUGCCAGAAUGUCACAAAUAGCUUUGCAUGGGCAGCGGGCAAACAGCAGCUUGAGAUAUGUGCACGUUGUUGCAGGUGAGCGCCGCACGAGUCCACUGCCAUAUUUUAGGUACCUUGCAUUGGAAAAGGAAGUAUUGCUACAUGCUAAUAUUUUAUUGUUGCUGAGAGAGAUCUAUUAUACUGGCAUUGUGACAAAGCUCUCUGAAAUUCGUAGUUUCUAUGACUACAAAGAAAGAAGUAUUGCACAACUUAACUCCUAGUUUCAUUAAUUGUUACAUGUUGCCAUUGGUCUCUGUGUACUACUGCAGGACUGGCCGAUGCCUGCAGUGUUGACAAGGUGCUUGCAUAAUGAUUGUUUCUUAAGGCAAGGCCAACCCAAGGAAGCAACUACCUCUCACUCACAAAUUAUGCCACAAGAACAUUUGAUGCAUUUGAUGUGCAUUUGAUUGGAAGCCAUCAUGAAGCACCACCACUAACCUGCCUGCUUGCUUCAGGUAAGGCCUGCAUCUCAUUAGACUGUUGUAGCAGCAGUCUGUGCUACGUCAUACAGUGUGCCUGUCCAAACAGACCCGCACUAACAGAACAAAUGUCACAUUUUGCAUUACAGUGUCUGCUGCAGUUUUUUAUUCUUCUUUUAGAGAUUUUAAAACUGAACGUAUUAUGUCUUCCAAGUACAAUCUAAGUAGAAUAAGAGGAGGGAAACAGCAUGGAAAGAUGACCUUAACUGUAUGUAAGUUGAUUUGAUGCUAUUCAAUACGUAUUUAGAUCGAGGAAAGGUAGGAAGUGGAGGAAUAUUUCUUGUUUAAUUUGAAGAUAAGAGGCACUUGCUUCCUGAAGACACUGUUAGGAAGCUGUACUUCAGGUCACGACUCCCAGUUUGUAAGGCGAUGUCAAGUAGUUAGGUGUUGUAUUGGAAUCAAACCCAUCCUUCCAAGCUGACAGCUGCCCAGCACUCCGUCUGAAGCGCUGCACUGGCAAGGAGCACUUCUCUAGAUCAGCUCAGACUCCUAAAUAUCUGCAGCAGUGGAAAUAAAAGCAAGCAAAUGACAAGUGCAUUCUGUUCUUUUGGGUGCUCGUGAAAUGAUGUUCUGUUUGCUGCUUCUGUUUCAAUCUGGAGAAGUUUGUAGGUGCAAACUCUUUUCUCUAGUUUGUGGAUAUUAAUCUAAUGCAUGGUAUUUUUUUUCAUCUGUUACUGUAGAUACCGGUGGCUUUGUUUUCAGCUUUGCAAUUUGUCACCUUAGCCUUUUAUUAUGAAAGGAUAGACUUACAUUUGUCAGGAUAAUGCUGGUGAGAUCAAACACAUAGUGGAUACCUGUACCUCAGGGAACAGGAGGUCUUUUGUAGAAGGAACACGGGACAGCCCUAAAAUUCUUGUCAGCAAAAUUGCUGCUCCUUAAAAGCUACAGUAAUUUGUUUCCCCAAGCCACAAGAGUUGUUAUACACAGGUUCCAAAACCUAGGUAUGCUAACAUUCACUGUUUGGUCUCCAUAAACAUUAAACAAGCAUUGAUGACUGCCAUUUUUUCUGCGUGGAGGAAUUCAGUUCCUCACCUUUGCUUCACACACACUUCAUGUCAGACAUCAUUUUGUCAGACUGCGCCUCUGCUGCCAUCUGUCAUGUGGCAACAAAAUACUAUGGAAUGUUGGCAGGAAGGUUCAGCCUCUACUCCCAUCCCACCAACAUCUGCCUCUGACAUGAUGGGCCAACCUAAUGAAAUAGUAAUAAAAACCUAAUGAAAUAGUGACAAGCUGCUCUAAGAAACAGGAGGGGGAAAUGACUCUGUAAAGAUUUAUAAAGGUUUAUGAGACUGCAGACAGGAUCCGAGCUGUGCCUAUGGGCAAUUUUGCUAUGAAUGGUAGUGAUGAAUAAUCACACUGAUCAUAAAGCCUUACUACAUGAUAGCAUUCAUGGCAGUGCCACUUGGAGUCGUGCACUGGAAGUUUGUAUUUUAAGACAACAGAGUGUACAUAAGUUUUAGUGAGGUGGAUGAACAUUCUUCUGUUCAGAGAAAUUGCAUUAAUUAAAUUAAAUGAAUUAAAAAAUGCAGAAAUCGAAAUAAUUGAUUGCAUUAGAGAUGCUGUUUCUAGUGUGGUAAAGCCAUGGUUUCUUACUAUGAUAACUGCAGCCUUAAAAACAGUUUGUCAAGUUGCUGUUUCUAAUCUUUGUAGUACUGGUGCUCACUGUUGUGUCUUGCUUCAAAUAUAGAUAUUCCUGCAGAAGGAAAUCCUACUGACUUGGGCUUCAAUGGUGUUUGCUUUUUCACAACUGUUUUUCACGUUCCUUCUGAGUUACAGAGUGGUGCUGAGUCUGACAAACAUUUUUGCAAAUAUUUUGUGCUAAGUUGAAAAUAUUCAAGGUAGACUUUGAGUAAGUUUGGUAUUCCAAACAUGGCAGCACGUCCAUCUUGGAGACUAUUUUUCAUUAGUGCUGUUGUUUGCAACUACAAACUGUCAGCUCAGAUCUUCUGCUUUGAAUAAAUGAUACUGAGCAUGUUUCUGAACACUGAUUUUUGUCUCAGCAUUUCAGGUCUCAGGUGCUACUUUAAAAGGAGACUUCCAUAUAGCAGGUCACUAAUAUUUCUAGCAGGCAGCUUGCACUGUUUGCUUUGAUAUCUAAUAUGAAUGAGGGGAGCUAUGCAAUCUAAGCAGAUAUGUUCUUUAGGACUCCUAUACGUUUUUUAAAGUACUGAUGUAAAAUUGCUAUUUUCUCCUUUGUAUUACCUCUUUCCUUUAGUCAGGCAUUCUAUUUCCAAAGUUUUCUAAGAAUAAUACAGAAUGCUGAGACAUUUUCUCUUGUCUCAUGACUAUCUGGUAGCACUCUUAAAAUGAUUGGUAGAUAGAAAGGAUCUGUCACCCAGGAAAGCUCACUUUUGAACAUGUUGUUAAUAAAAUAUAACUACAUAAAAAUAAAAAUAACUCUAAAGUGA